UUAUGGUCAACCGCGUAGGCGGCACGAGGCUGGGGAGCAGUUAAGUACACUUCCCAAGAAGGCUGAGUGCUGACAGGACCGAAAAAGAGUAGGGAAGCGUCUGAGUUCACGCUGGCGAGAAAAGCUGCUAAGGAGAGUGUGAGUGCCCGUACCGGAAACCGACGCAGGUGGGCGAGGAGAGAAUCCUGAGACGGACGGGAGAACUCUUGUUAAGGAACUCGGCAAAAUGACCCCGUAACUUCGGGAGAAGGGGUGCCUCGAAAGAGGCCGCAGAGAAUAGUCACAAGCGACUGUUUAGCAAAAACACAGGUAUCUGCGAAAGCGAGAGCUGACGUAUAGGUGCUGACGCCUGCCCGGUGCUGGAAGGUUAAGGGGAAGUGUUAGGGGAAACCCGAAGCAGAGAACCGAAGCCCCAGUAAACGGCGGCCGUAACGAUAACGGUCCUAAGGUAGCGAAAUUCCUUGUCGGGUAAGUUCCGACCCGCACGAAUGGCGUAACGACUUGUGAGCUGUCUCAACAGGAGGCCCGGUGAAAUUGAAGUAUGUGUGAAGAUGCACAUUACCCGCGACUGGACGGAAAGACCCCGUAGAGCUUUACUGUAACCUGACAUUGGAUCUUGAUAACGGAUGCACAGGAUAGGUGGGACGCAGAGAGACGAGGACUUCGGUUUUCGUGGAGCGGCCGUUGGGAUACCACUCUUCUGUUAUUGAGAUUCUAACCUCAAGCCGUAAGCCGGAUGAGAGACAGUGUCAGGCGGACAGUUUGACUGGGGCGGUCGCCUCCGAAAGAGUAACGGAGGCGCCCAAAGGUACCCUCAGAAUGGAUGGAAACCAUUCGAAGAGAGCAAAGUCAGAAGGGUGCUUGACUGCGAGACCAACAAGUCGAGCAGGUACGAAAGUAGGGCUUAGUGAUCCGGCGGUAAGAGAGUGGAAUUGCCGUCGCUCAACGGAUAAAAGCUACCUCGGGGAUAACAGGCUGAUCUCCCCCAAGAGUUCACAUCGACGGGGAGGUUUGGCACCUCGAUGUCGGCUCGUCGCAUCCUGGGGCUGAAGCAGGUCCCAAGGGUUUGGCUGUUCGCCAAUUAAAGCGGCACGCGAGCUGGGUUCAGAACGUCGUGAGACAGUUCGGUCCCUAUCCAUCGUGGGCGAAGGACACAUGAGAGGAGCUGCUCCUAGUACGAGAGGACCGGAGUGGACGCAUCACUGGUGCAACUGUUGUCGUGCCAACGGCACAGCAGGGAAGCGAAAUGCGGAUGGGAUAAACGCUGAAGGCAUCUAAGCGUGAAGCCCACCUCAAGAAUAAGUGUCCCAUUCGAAAGAAGUAAGACCCCUGGAGGACUACCAGGUGAUAGGUCAUCGGUGAAAGAGUGGCAACAUUUGGAGCUUGGUGAUACUAAUCGGUCGAGGACUUGAUCG
rnacentral:rRNA from 1 species